GGGGAUGUAAUGGAUUCGACAUUUUAAUGCCUUAAUAUAUUGCAGUGGUUUUGUGUCCUAAACACUUCGAGAUAUUUGUAAAUGCAAAUAAAAAACUAAAAAAAGCUGAUGCAACAACAAAUGAAGUUUUCUUCAUGAAUGAAGCUACAGCUAAUAAUUUUGCUUUCGCUUAAUUAGCGAAGUUAAAUAAAAAGACUAAAUAGUCAAUAGCAAACUUUAUUCAUUCGACUCCUCUAAAUUGAAUAAUGUAUCGCAGAGGAUAGUGAUCUUAUGGCGAAAGAUCAUGAAAAUUUAGCCAAAAAGUUAUUUGAUAUUUUGUUCAAUUUUGGUCAAAAUAACUUAUUUAAAUUGAACUAAACUGUAGAAGUAUAUUAACUGGAAAUUAAUAUGGACCCGGGUUCAACUCCCGGCAUCUCCACCA
rnacentral:tmRNA from 1 species